AUGUCCUCAAGCCAGACAAUUAUAGACCGGAGCUCACUCUGGUCACAGCUCGAUAAUAAGCCUCCGACACUGGCACGACAAGAAGGUUCAUACUACAAUGGAUACUUACAUAGACAGGAGAUUCAAUUGGAUAGAAUGACAUCUCUCCUGUAAAAGAAG